rnacentral:rRNA from 1 species
AACGAACGCUGGCGGCAUGCCUAACACAUGCAAGUCGAACGAGACCUUCGGGUCUAGUGGCGCACGGGUGCGUAACGCGUGGGAACCUGCCCUUAGGUUCGGAAUAACUCCCCGAAAGGGGUGCUAAUACCGGAUAAUGUCUUCGGACCAAAGAUUUAUCGCCUUUGGAUGGGCCCGCGUUGGAUUAGCUAGUUGGUAGGGUAAAAGCCUACCAAGGCGACGAUCCAUAGCUGGUCUGAGAGGAUGAUCAGCCACACUGGGACUGAGUCACGGCCCAGACUCCUACGGGAGGCAGCAGUGGGGAAUAUUGGACAAUGGGCGAAAGCCUGAUCCAGCAAUGCCGCGUGAGUGAUGAAGGCCUUAGGGUUGUAAAGCUCUUUUACCCGGGAUGAUAAUGACAGUACCGGGAGAAUAAGCUCCGGCUAACUCCGCG